CGGACCUUGUACACACUGCCCGUCACACCACGAAAGCCGUUUGUACCCGAAGUUGUUUUUGCUAACCUUUACUGGAGGCAAAUACCUAAGGUAUGAGGAGUGAUUGGGGUG
rnacentral:rRNA from 1 species